AACGAACGCUGGCGGCAUGCCUAACACAUGCAAGUCGAACGCCUGUAGCAAUACAGGAGUGGCAGACGGGUGCAUAACACGUGGGAACCUACCCUAGGGUUCGGAAUAACCGCGGGAAACUGCGGCUAAUACCGGAUACGUCCUCUGGGAGAAAGAUUUAUCGCCCUUGGAGGGGCCCGCGUCGGAUUAGCUAGUUGGUGAGGUAACGGCUCACCAAGGCGACGAUCAGUAGCUGGUCUGAGAGGAUGGUCAGCCACACUGGGACUGAGAUACGGCCCAGACUCCUACGGGAGGCAGCAGUCGAGAGGCUUCGGCAAUGGGGGGAAACCCUGACCGAGCGACGCCGCGUGAGCGAUGAAGCCCUUCGGGUGUAAAGCUCUUUUGUGAGGGAAGAACUGCAACGGCCUAAUACGCUGUUGUUUGACGGUACCUUACGAGUAAGCUCCGGCUAACUCCGUACCAGCAGCCGCGGUAAGGUGCGCGAGU
rnacentral:rRNA from 1 species